rnacentral:rRNA from 1 species
GAUGAACGCUGGCGGCGUGCCUAAUACAUGCAAGUCGAGCGAACGGACGAGAAGCUUGCUUCUCUGAUGUUAGCGGCGGACGGGUGAGUAACACGUGGAUAACCUACCUAUAAGACUGGGAUAACUUCGGGAAACCGGAGCUAAUACCGGAUAAUAUUUUGAACCGCAUGGUUCAAAAGUGAAAGACGGUCUUGCUGUCACUUAUAGAUGUAUCCGCGCUGCAUUAGCUAGUUGGUAAGGUAACGGCUUACCAAGGCAACGAUGCAUAGCCGACCUGAGAGGGUGAUCGGCCACACUGGAACCGAGACACGGUCCAGACUCCUACGGGAGGCAGCAGUAGGGAAUCUUCCGCAAUGGGCGAAAGCCUGACGGAGCAACGCCGCGUGAGUGAUGAAGGUCUUCGGAUCGUAAAACUCUGUUAUUAGGGAAGAACAUAUGUGUAAGUAACUGUGCACAUCUUGACGGUACCUAAUCAGAAAGCCACGGCUAACUACGUG